CCAGGCCCUGGGGUUAGAUGAGAAGCCAGAUCUGGGCUCCAGAUUGAUCACCGAGACUACAACCCCCUGGAUUUGCUCACUGGGCAGGAAGCGCUCACUCCGUCCUGUGUCCGGGUUGAGCGACCAGAGUUUCAUGGCCGGCACGUGCUCCGGCAUUUUGACCUGGGUGGAGUCAAGGUGGACCUUCACCUUGCCAGCAUUAAGUGACUCAGAAGUGGCCUCAUCUCUAAAGUCCACUGAAAACAUGCCGUAUGUUCUAAGGGGUAAGGUGUCUCCUUCAUCGCUGAUGAAGUUCAGGUCACUUUGGGCAGCUGUGGCUGUAGACAUGUUCCGAGGAUCCAGGAAGGUGACGCUGGCCUUUACUUUACCGGUGAAGGGCUCUCCAUUCUGCCUAUAGAAACUUUUGGAUGGAAUCUCCAGUUCAGCCACAGGAUCUUCACCAGUCACCUCUCCCAGGGGGAUAAUGUUGGUUUCCAUGGCUUCCAACGUGAUGGGCUCUUUCUGCCGAAGCAUCUUGAUCUCGUGGAACACUGCACUCCCCUUCUUGUUGAAGGGCAGCACUUUGGUAGUGUUGACAAAUUUCUGCAGCCUGUCUACAAAUGUGAGCACCAGCCUCUCUGUGUCCUGGGGGAUGUGGAGGGUGAACGUGCCUUUGUAGCCAGUCAUGCUCACACGGUUAUUCCCCAUGUACACAUGGCCAAAGCGCAUGGGCUCCCCGUUGUCAGCAGCAGUGACCCGGCCCCGGAUGAUGCUCCGUGUCUCUGUGCAACGUUGGCAGCUGCACUCCACGGCCACCUUGGUGGGCAGUGUGUACCCACUGCACUGGAUCUCCCUCUCCUCUGUUCUGGAGAUGCCACAGCAGUUCUCCACAGCAUCUCGGCACCGGAUCCCAUUGUCCUGCUGACCUGCACAGGUCUUGAUCGGGCAGCGGCCUACAUCGUAGUAGAAGGAGUUGGUGUCGUUCUGGAAGCAAUCAUGGGGCAGCCGGAUAAGGUAGCUCUCUGGGGCUGGGUUGCAAGGAGUCUCAUCAUGUGCUAAAGAAGAAAUGGUGUGAAUGUUACAGGAGGCUCAAAACUUUGUGCCUGGCUGCUGUCAGGAGAGAGCAUGAGAGAGACCUAGGACAUUUCCACCUGCAAGACAGCUUCACAGCUCCCCACCCCCCACCCCUGCGGACAGGAGCUACAUCAAGGGAGCCCUUCACGGAAAGGAACAGGAGAGGCCAGAGACAGAGUCCAUGUACCCAAGGCCACCUAGAUUCACCUAAGCAGCACACUGCCUGGGUACUUGAACAAAGGUUUAGUACAGAAGACUAAACUUGAGGCAACCUCUCCACACAAGCUGCAGGGUAA